rnacentral:rRNA from 1 species
UAUUGACAAAAAAAGUAAAAAAUGUUAAUAUUAUACUUGUAAAAAUGUGGUUAUAAUAGCAGAGAAGAUACACCUGUUCCCAUUCCGAACACAGAAGUUAAGUUCUCUAGCGCUGA